AUCUGGCUCUCAUGUCACCCUGCUCCGGCUUGCUGUCUGCCUGGGCUGCCCCAAGGGCUUUCUCGUCCUUCCGGCCGUGUUUGGCUAACGGGAAGCACCAGCAGGGAGAGUGGGUUUGGAUAUCGCUCUGCCUGGUCUCUGGGGGGUCUCUGUAGGCUGUCCACAUCUCCUGCCCACAGACUCUCUGCUUCAAGGUUCUUGUAACUUCCCUCCCCGCACCUCUUCAAGCCCAGAGGUGGUAGAGGCUCUCCCGGACUCUCAGAACUUCCUUCUACCUGUUCCAUUGAAUAUCUUUGUUUUCUGAUGCUGGGUAUGGGUAUGGGCAUUCCCUGUGCCCCUGAUCUGGAAAGAGGAGCACCUGAGUUACGGAGCAAGACCAGAAUCUGAGACAUGCAAUCGGAGCAUCAGCUGGUCUACCUUCCCUUUCCUCCCCCAUAUCUUCCUUUCUUUCCAUGUCCUCUCUCUCCAGGUCCUUUUAUUGCUGUGCAAGACCAUGUCUGGGAUGGAAGUGGAGGUAGAAGGGGAAUAUCAGUGACAAGGUCCUCAGGGGUCAGGGAGAUAGCCUUCCACCUCCACUAUGCUUCACAAUUACCCAGGGGAGAGCUGUGGUGAGGUGGUGAGGGCGAGCGCUGCCUCUGAAGCUAGACCUGCAUUCAAACCCAGCCCCUACAUAUGAUUUCUGUGUAACCUCAAAACAGUCAGUCACUUUUUUCUUCUCUGUAGACAAGGGAGAUGAGGCAUUAGAAAGAAUUCUGUAAACUACAAAACACUAUGGUAAUGAAGGGUUCCCCUUUCCUGUGGGAGCCCCAAGGGUACAUAAGAAGUGGAGGAGGGGUAAAUCUAAGGGGCUGAUGAAGGCUGCAGCCAUGAGGGGACAGAUGAGGCAGAAAGAGAGAAGGCCCCAGAGGCAGAGGACACUUGGACCAGAGCUCCUGCCAACUGGGUCUCAGGGGGCUAACCCAGCAGAGGGAGAGAAAAGCUUGCCUGGAGGUAUGCAUGUGCCCAAACCAAGGCAGCAGGCUGAAAGCUGAGAGGGAAAGCAACUCAACUGAAUAAUAGCAGCCAUGUGCCUGGGGCUGGCUAAAUGCCAGGCACUGAGCUGAGGCUUUCCAUGCUCAUUUAAUUCACCAACAAUUCUGUAAGGCAGAUGCUAUUACUAUCCUCAUUUUACAGAGGGGAGAAUGAGGUUCCAUAGAAUGAGUACAAGACAAUUCUAAAAAUUUUCACAGCCAGGAAAUGGCAGAAUAUGGAUUCAAAUCUAGAUUUUUCAAAAUCCAAAGCCCAUGUCAGCAAGACAGAGUUAAGGUUUUGUUUUGUUUUAAUGAUCUUUUAUGACAAGGAGGAGACAGUUGGACGAAACUACUGUGAGGCAGUCUGUGAAGCCAAGGGUUCAAAGAACCAGAGAUAGCAGAACAGAGUGGGUGGGGAAGUAAGUCAGAAGGCCCAGGUGAGCAUCUGAGACGAGCGCAAUCCAUCCUUUCUGUGGAACGGCUCAUGGGUGGGCGGGAUACGUUUAAAGGGCUGUGAACCGAGCAGCCACCUGCAGCCUGUUCUUAUGUGGGGACCAGCAAGAAAUCUUGGGUUCACAUGCUCUUUUCAUUGUAAUUAAUAGAAUUAAUGAAUGAUGUAGACCACCAUUCACCAAAGUGGGUUCCAUGGAACAUUAGUUCUAUAGGAAGCUAAUGGAUAUGACUUGGAAAAAAAUGGUCAAUUAAAUUCACUGCAAUUAAAUUUAAUAUCUUUAUUGAGUUGAAUCCACAACAGGGCUGUGAACUACAAAAUCAAUCAUGAACAACACAGGCAAAGUCCCUGUCCUCCCGGAGUUUGUAGACUAACAGUCAAGGUAAGCUUGGGAAAUAGUGCAUCAAAGUGAUAAAGGUUUCUUUAGCAAACAUUUCAGGGUUUUAUUAUAUUAUGUUAACAAGCUUUGCAACUUUCUAAGAGUAGGGUAGAGAAUACAAGGAUUGCCCUCAAAUAAUCUGGCCAUGGAUCCUAUUUUAUUGCCAUAAAGUCUCUUCACAUGGUGACAGGGCUGGUAUUUUGCAACACAAGCUCAGGGAAAUCUCUGGGGCAGACAAAGAAUGACAAGCUCCACCUCUGCCUUUAUUCAUUUCACCACAAUAUUAGUAGUGUGACAAAAGGGAUGGUGGAUGACAUUAAAACCCAGAACAUGGCAUCCAGGUGGUGCAAGUAUGGAGGACUGUGGCCCCAUGGAUGGACACCAAGGGAUGCCUGCUGCUCUACACUGAACUCUAACAGAGUCAAGGUCACCUGGAAAUUACUGUAGGCGUUACAUAACAGCCGGGACUGCAGGGAACACCUAUACAAGACGGCAUGACAGCUAGACAAUGGAGUCCUGGGUAAAAUGGAGUCAUUCAUGAGCUGUGUGAGAGGCGGCUCUGUUCCCAGCUUGGCUCCCUGGGAAAUGAAGUGUGCUGCAGACAAAGAGGGAAACUUUACCCUCUCGCAGGGUUCCCACAGGGGCAGGCUCACAGUAAAACAAGGCACUCGUUGGCCCAGAGAAAAGGCAACCAUAUCCAUAGACUUUGCUCUCUCUCUCCCAGAUCGUGGUCUUGUGCCAAACCCACAAGAAUAAUCUCCCAGCAAGAACAGCAAGGCUAACUCGCUGUGGGCCUGAAACGGCAGAGCCGGAGGCUUGGCUCAUGCAGGGAGGCUCCAUCCUUCUGGACACAAAGCCUAUGGUGUGAGCAGGUGACAGCUGAAGAAGAAGACAGUGGCUAAAUGCUCCAGAAUCAGACUGAAAGAAGACAGCAGAGCAACAGCCAGUGAAUGUUCCAAGAGCAGAUGGGAGAGAUCUAAGGUCCACAGAGAUCAUCCUGUCACCGGAACUCUGAGUUGAGAAAACUGAAGCUCAGAGAGGUCAUGUGACUUCAGAUUUGACCAUUAGUCAUGGAUUCAAGACUGGGAUUCAAGCCUGCUGCAUCUCCAUGCUUCCUUGCCUCCAUGGGCGCUGCCAUAUCACCGGAGGCUGCAGCACUGUCUUGGUCAUUCCCAUAAGCCUGAGCUCAGAGCAGGGCUCUAAGAUAACUCCAGCUGCUUUGAAGCAUUCCAUGUGAUGGAUUACUAUUAUGACUCCAAAGGCUCUCCAGGAGAGGCAGAACUCAAAGAUAAAUGUGCCUAAGGAAUUACCUAAAAGAAGUCUGCAUAAUCACAAACUACCUCACACAGAAGUAUCAUGUCUCAGAGGUGAUGAAGCAUGAAGCCAGCAGACAAGAGUAUGGAGCAACCAGCAAAGCUCUUUUAAUGGGUGGAAAGAGAAAGCAAGGACUCCUGCUAGCCAGGAGGGGCUCCAAAAGAGAAGGCUGUCAGGGCUAUGGUGUCUGGGGUUUAUAUUGCCUCCAAAGAGGAGAAAGUCCCACCACACCCCCUGAACCAGAUGGAGAACUGAAUUAAUGACAUCACAACUCCCUCCUGAUUGACUGAAAGUACAAUACUUCAUUUGCAUAAAGCAGCUGAGGUCCCUGUACCUUUGAAAGGCUGAACUUCAUUUGCGUAGGGCACAACCAAUCAGAGCAGCUGAGGUCUAGCUAAGUGGCUGAGUUUGGAUUUUAGGAGCUUUUUACAAGGGUCCUGAACUUUAUCUACCUGUGUGCCACCACUACCUGCCUCAGUAGGGUCUGGAUUUCACAAAGGGUAAGGGUAAUAAUGUUAUAUUUCUGUGUAUCCAUCGUAGUAUUCAACAUGGUGCCGGCCAUCUAGUAGGGAUUCAAAAAGUCAGUGUUAAUUGGUGAACUUUAAGGAGUAAUUCUGAUUGCUUCAGUGAGCUUUCUCCAGGCUACAGUUACUACCCCCAGGAUGAGAAGACAAAGAAAGAGACAUGCAGUGCGUCUUUUGAGCAUUGCUGUGUGCUUACUGUAUCAGUAAUAACUCUCCAGAGACAUUGGCCUGAUAAGAUCCUCCAGAGGCAUCUCCAAGACUGAGCUUGACAAGUUAGGCUUCUGAGUUGAAGAAUUAAACAAGGGCAGCACAGAAGAUUCAGCAAUCUGCUGUGUGCAGAAAUGCAGGCUCUGGGUCCCUGCCACCUGAGCUGGGGACCCAGCUCUACCACUUACUAGUGCAUAACUUCGUACAAAUUACUCAACCUGUCCUCAUCUGUAAAAUGAGGCUCAUAAUAGAAUCCACCAUUGUGCUCCGGUGAGGAUUGAAUGAGAGAAUGCGUACAAAGCAUUUAGAAAAUAGCCCAGCCCAUAGUGAGAGCUCAAUAAUGUUAGCUAUUAUUAGCAUAAUUGAGUAAUGACCGGAACGGGAUUGGUUCAUAGACACAGGCUGAGGACUGUAGCCACAGCUUGGAACCCCUGAGAUAUUCAGGUGGGCUUCUGUCUUGUCUAACUAAGUCUCUUACCCAAGCCACCUGAAUUUGUCACUGGAUCAUUGAGUGUAAUGACAUCAGAUACCUAAACAGGAUUCUCUGCCCUGUUCCUCUUCUGGUUUCAUUUCCAAUAACUCCAUUCCAUACAAAUGUCCUAUUCAUAUUCUUACCAGGCAUCUAGAUUGUCUAGAAGGAAAGGAAGGUGGCAUAGAGCAAAAUGUCAGCUCUAGAAACAACAGGUAGGUUCAUUAAAGGAAAUGAAGCUUUUUUUAAUGGAAGUAUAGUUAAUAUACAAUAUUAUGUUGGUUUCAAGUAUAUAACAUAGUGAUUCCACAAUUAUCUACAUUAUUUGAUGCUCACCCCAACAAGUGCAGCUACUAUCUGGAAAUGAAGGCUUUUGACCCACUAAGAUGGUGGAAGGAACAGAAGAAGAGGAAGGUGGUUGAACUGCAGAGCAUUUCCUAGAAUAUGGCAGUGGACUUCCUAAGAGAAGAGUAGGUUCUUGGUGUCACUGUAUUUACACAAUGGUUAACGAAGAGCAUUUCUCUUUAAAUCUAAAUAAUAUUUUGUCACUUGCCAACAAGAGUUUUGGAAAUAGUGGAAUCUAACUCCAAUUCAACAUUUCAGUAGUAUUCAAAUCAUUGGGAUGACAGCCCUAUAGUAAGAAAUGCAUUUCACAUCAUGACAUAAUGUGCACAUUCAUGCAGACGAAUUUAUAUUACCGAAACCACAGUUUCACCAAAUAACACUUACCCUUCUUACAUGCAGUGCAUUGUAAUAGUUCACCUUCUCUUCUCAGUUCUGUUUUUACUCAAUUGCAUUUUUUAAAUACAGCUUUACUCCAUUAAAUUUGUUUUGAGACCCUCUAAUGGAUCUUGACCUGUAGUUUGGGAAACACUGCAGUGUGUCUGCCAUUCUUGGGUAAAGAUUCAAUCACUUGCUCCAGAGGGCUAACCACAGGUGAGACUCUCUGUGCUAGUGAGAGGCAUCUUCAGGGGCUCAAUUUCUUCUCAUUCUCACAGAGAAAGCGCCUGAUGUGACAACACAGGAGCUGAUUGUGAGAUGAGCAUGUGGGACCAUAGGCCAUAGGCAAGACUCUGCAAGACAGGCUUGGAUCAUGUGUCUGCCCUCACCAGAAAUGGGGAAUAUGGGCAUCAGCAAAGUCCACCCUUCUUGGAAACCACCCCAAAGAAUCAUCAAAUCAACUCUAAUUUGGGUGAUCCCAGAAGACGCAAAAUAAGAAACAAUGGAGUUGUGCUAAACAUUUCAGUAAGCAGAGGAGUCCACAGACUGUAUGACAGUUUUUCUGAGGGAAAUUAAAAGUCAGGUAAUGUUUGAGGGCACAUGUGGCAUCUCCUGGACUUUUCAGAGCCUCUGGCACUGCAUUACCCAUCCCACUUUAGACUCGUCUUUCGUGCUGUGUUGUCUGGGGGCUGGGAAACAGAAUAUGGGAAUUUCUUGGUUUCUCUGUUUUUUUGUUUUGCUCCUUUCUCUGCACAUCAGGCAGGUCUGAAGAAAGGUAGCCCCACCAGGUGUGUGCUUCCUGGCCUCUUACAGUCCAGGCCAGCAAGGGAGGAAUUGGCUUUUAUUGAGAUCACGUGGGGAAGCACAACUAAUGUGACAAGUACCAGCACCAUAAAAGCAGCUGUUAUUUUUGGUAGAUUAUGUUUUCCAGAGCUCAGAAACUAAACCAAGAAUUUAUUUUUAAAAAAAGAAAAGAUGGCGAUCACUGCACCCCCAGAACACUCCCUAAUGCAGUGUAGAUAUUUAAAAGCACCAUCCAACUUAACUUUGUUUAUCGUCUUCUCAGGCUUCUACAGUCAAGUGUCUCUCUCCUGCGUGCCUCACCUUCUCACAGGUGUGCCCCAUGAUAUAAAAGGAGGUGGAGCCCUCCGUGCUACCUCAUAUGGGUAUUGGGCAGUAACAAUAUUGUGGCUUCCAGCAUGGGUAACAGGAUGGCCACCUCCAGAACCCACAGGAUAUAGUGUGGAUACCAAACAGCUGACUGUCUCCUUUAGUUUCCAACGGUGGCAUUUGAACUAGAGGAGUGUUACAAGAUCACCUUCUUCAGUUCCCUUGACAUAUCACCGCAGGUCACCUGGCAUACCCAACAGUGGCCUUCACUGCCAACCCCACCCCUUCCAAAUCACUCCAGUUCCUCCUUGCCAUUCCUAAAUUCUAAUAAACAGACUGUACUCACCACAGAGUUAAGUAACUCAUU